GGAUUUGAGCGAUCUGGCUGUGACGUCUGUCACCCUUGUCAUUGUGUGGGCUGGUUUGGUUAAUCUGGCUGGGGAGGUGGGUGUCCUCUUUCUCUUUCACAGCACCAUGUGCAUCUCUGUUGAAGCUGUGUGCUUGGUGGAAGAGGAGGACCUUCCCCAAAAGGAUCAAGACAAGGGUACGUGAGUAGCUUCAUUUCCCUGCUGGAACCUCCAGACCAGCUCUCGAGGAUAGGAUUUACCAUGUGACACAGUAGUGGAGAAUUUGAACAAAAGUCUAUGUUGCUCAUCAUGGUAAUUCAGG
ensembl:misc_RNA 7SK 7SK RNA